CCUACGGGGGGCAGCAGUGGGGAAUAUUGCACAAUGGGGGAAACCCUGAUGCAGCGACGCCGCGUGAGUGAAGAAGGAAUUCGUUAUGUAAAGCUCUAUCAGCAGGGAAGAAAAUGACGGUACCUGAGUAAGAAUCCCCGGCUAAAUACGUGCCAGCAGCAGCCGCAAUACGUAGGGGGCAGGCGUUAUCCGGAUUUUCUGGGUGUAAAGGGAGUGUAGACGGCAGUGCAGGUCUGGAGUGAAAGGCGGGGGGCCAACCCCCGGAGUGCUGUUGAAACUGGACGGCUGGAGUGCAGGAGAGGUAAGCGGAAUGCGGAGUGUAGCGGUGAAAUGCGUAGAUAUUAGGAGGAACACCAGUGGCGAAGGCGGCUUACUGGACUGUAACUGACGUUGAGGCUCGAAAGCGUGGGGAGCAAACAGGAUUAGAUACCCUAGUAGUC
rnacentral:rRNA from 1 species